UUCUACACCUCCCUGAGCUUUUAAUUAGAUGAGCCAAUUUUACAUGUAUUUGUCUGCUGGAAAGGUUAUCUGUGCUGGAGCUGACCUGCAGAGACAAGGUUGAGCCUAGCGGUCUUAAUAGAAAAGGUUUUCAGCUAUGACUGCUGUACUUGAUUGCAUUGUAAUGAAAUUGGUUUUGUGCAGUUACAUUCAUAGGAAAAAGUAUGGAAAAAAAAAAAAAAGAAAGGGAACGGUGUGCCUCAGCUGGGGAGCGUGGUGGAGGCAGACGGCUCGGAGGAGACCUGUCGCAACGCUUGACUCCUUCUGCUCGUGCAGGUUUGGCGCUUAAGCUAAUUUGUAAGCAUUUAGGGCCGGACUCUGAUCUCCCUCCUGCCGCAGCCGCUCCACAGAGGCUGGCGAGCGCUUCCCAGCAGACACGAGGUGGGGAACCCCGCCGGCUGGAUUUGGUCCCGUCUCCAAUGUUUUGUGCUGCCGGGUGUGGGUGUAAGUAAUUCUGACAAAGCGAGGUGCUGGAGGUGGAGCAUCUUCAGCAGCAGCGCUGCAUGGCUGUAGGGAUUAACCCCAAGGCCUCAUCCUGCCAGACGGGAUGCUCUCCCCGAGGCUGGCAGGCAGGGGAGGGCUUCCAGUACUUUCCUGUGCCUCCUGCAGGGCUCAGCUUGAGGCUUGCAGAUGCUGACAAUGAGCCCAUUUCCCUGGGGACACCAGCCCGUGUCCCCCCAGGGCAAAGCUGGCACAAAAGCCACAGCUGAUGGUGCCUCGCCAAGGACAUGAGGGGCUGUGUUGGUGCAUUGCAGAGCAUUGUGGAUACCCAGUGUUGGGCCUGAAGUCAUGGCAGGCCAUCUGAUGGGGCAGAGCUCCUGGGGACCUCUUCAUUGAUGCUGUGCUAUCCUCUGGGGCCUCCUUUCCUUCUCAAGAGCUCCAAGCUGCUGUCCUCUACAUCUCACCUGCCCCCUGACGAACCUUUUUUUCCUUGGUGGUCUUGGCAUGUCUGUUAAUGGCAGCUUGAGUGCGCCCACACCAUUUGAGCAGUUUCACUUCCAGGCUCAUACAUUGGUGUUCAAAGACUUUACUCUUAUUCUGAUGACCAGUGGAGGACCCCCUGCUUGGGCUGAUGCUGAAACAUUUUAAACGUGUUCUCCAGAAAGCUGUAGGUCUCCAUCAUGAAAGUAGAGCAGGGAUCCUACUCUUAAACCCGUCACAUAUGUUCAAGAAAUCAAACCUUUGGUGGACAUCAAUGAGGAAAGCCCGAGUGAUGACUCUGCCAAGUUUUAAGCUGUCCAUUGAUCUACUCACUGAAUCCUUUUCCUCUUAGAGAUUUUUGUAUAGCAGAAUAUAACUCAAAGAAGGGAAAAGUGCAUUUCCUGGGAACCCCAGUCAUACCUUUCUUCUAUCAAAAUAAUUUAUAAGAUCAACUCUUCCAUGGGAAUUAAUGCCUAUAACACUUGCUGGACAUUGAAAGGGGGGAACGAAUGUUAAUAACACAAGUGUGUGGCUCCUGUGAGAGAAGCGUGCAUGGAACAGAGAAUGUGAUUCUGCUUCAGCCCCAGAAAGCUACAGAAAUCAAUGCUUCAUUCAAGGCUAUUGAUCAGUACUAAAUUAAUUAGACUUCAAGGCUUAUGGCAGUUGAUAAGACAACUUGUUAAUUUAGUCAAUGAUAGUGUUUUCCCUAAAGCAGCAAAUACCCUCUUUCUCAGAAAAGACAUUUCUAGCACUUGCUAUGCGACUUUCCCCCCUCCUCCUUUUAUUAAAAAAAAAAAAAA